AACGCUGGCGGCGUGCCUAACACAUGCAAGUCGAACGAGAUCCAUGGGAGCUUGCUCCCGGAAGAUCUAGUGGCGAACGGGUGAGUAACACGUGAGAAACCUGCCCUGGAGUGGGGAAUAACUCGGGGAAACUCGAGCUAAUACCGCAUACCCUCGGAUGGUCGCAUGGCCGACCGAGGAAAGAUUUAUCGCUCUAGGAGGGUCUCGCGGCCUAUCAGCUAGUUGGUGGGUAACGGCCUACCAAGGCAACGACGGGUAGCUGGUUUGAGAGAACGAUCAGCCACACUGGGACUGAGACACGGCCCAGACUCCUACGGGAGGCAGCAGUGGGGAAUCUUGCGCAAUGGGCGAAAGCCUGACGCAGCAACGCCGCGUGCGGGAUGACGGCCUUCGUGGUUGUAAACCGCUUUCAGCAGGGACGAAAAUGACGGUACCUGCAGAAGAAGCCCCGGCUAACUACGUG
rnacentral:rRNA from 1 species